rnacentral:rRNA from 1 species
AUUGAACGCUGGCGGCAUGCUUUACACAUGCAAGUCGAGCGGGGAUAGGGUGCUUGCACCUGAUUCCUAGCGGCGGACGGGUGAGUAAUGCUUAGGAAUCUGCCUAUUAGUGGGGGACAACGUUCCGAAAGGGACGCUAAUACCGCAUACGUCCUACGGGAGAAAGCAGGGGAUCUUCGGAACUUGCGCUAAUAGAUGAGCCUAAGUCGGAUUAGCUAGUUGGUGGGGUAAAGGCCUACCAAGGCGACGAUCUGUAGCGGGUCUGAGAGGAUGAUCCGCCACACUGGGACUGAGACACGGCCCAGACUCCUACGGGAGGCAGCAGUGGGGAAUAUUGGACAAUGGGGGGAACCCUGAUCCAGCCAUGCCGCGUGUGUGAAGAAGGCCUUUUGGUUGUAAAGCACUUUAAGCGAGGAGGAGGCUUACCUGGUUAAUACCUGGGAUAAGUGGACGUUACUCGCAGAAUAAGCACCGGCUAACUCUGUGCCAGCCGCCGCCGUAAGAC